rnacentral:misc_RNA from 1 species
GAUGAAGAACGUAGCGAAAUGCGAUAAGUAAUGUGAAUUGCAGAAUUCAGUGAAUCAUCGAAUCUUUGAACGCACAUUGCGCCCCUCGGUAUUCCGUGGGGCAUGCCUGUUCGAGCGUCAUUUAACCCCUCAAGCCUAGCUUGGUAUUGGGUGCUUGUCCCGCCUCUCGCGCGGCGACUCACCUCAAAGUCAUUGGCAGCCCGAAUCUCGCCGGCCGUGAGCGCAGCACAGACGCGCUCUUGGCAACGACGGAUCGGCUCUCCAAAAGCUUAUUUCAACCACUGACCUCGGAUCAGGUAGGGAUACCCGCUGAACUUAAGCAUAUCAAUAAGCGGAGGA